ACUAACAAGGAUUCCCCUAGUAACUGCGAGUGAAGCGGGAAAAGCUCAAAUUUAAAAUCUGGCGGUCUUUGGCCGUCCGAGUUGUAAUCUAGAGAAGUAAUGCCCGUGCUGGACCGUGUAUAAGUCUCCUGGGAUGGGGCGUCAUAGAGGGUGAGAAUCCCGUCUUUGACACGGACUACCAGUGCAUUGUGGUAUGCUCUCAAAGAGUCGAGUUGUUUGGGAAUGCAGCUCAAAAUGGGUGGUAAAUUCCAUCUAAAGCUAAAUAUUGGCGAGAGACCGAUAGCGAACAAGUACCGUGAGGGAAAGAUGAAAAGAACUUUGGAAAGAGAGUUAAACAGUACGUGAAAUUGCUGAAAGGGAAACGCUUGAAGUCAGUCGCGUUGGCCGGGAAUCAGCCUUGCUUUUCUGCAUGGUGUACUUUCUGGUCGACGGGUCAGCAUCAAUUUUGACCACUGGAAAAGGCUCAAGGGAAUGUGGCAGCUUCGGCUGUGUUAUAGCCCCUGUUCACAUACAGUGGUUGGGAUUGAGGAACUCAGCACGCCGCAAGGCCGGGUUUCGACCACGUUCGUGCUUAGGAUGCUGGCAUAAUGGCUUUAAGCGACCCGUCUUGAAACACGGACCAAGGAGUCUAACAUGCCUGCGAGUAUUUGAGUGGAAAACCCAAGUGCGCAAUGAAAGUGAAAGUUGAGAUCCCUGUCGUGGGGAGCAUCGACGCCCGGACCAGAACUUUUGGGACGGAUCCGCGGUGGAGCAUGUAUGUUGGGACCCGAAAGAUGGUGAACUAUGCCUGAAUAGGGUGAAGCCAGAGGAAACUCUGGUGGAGGCUCGUAGCGAUUCUGACGUGCAAAUCGAUCGUCAAAUUUGGGUAUAGGGGC
rnacentral:rRNA from 1 species